rnacentral:rRNA from 1 species
UACAGAGGUGGCAAGCGUUGUUCGGAAUUACUGGGCGUAAAGGGCGCGUAGGCGGCCUUCUAAGUCAGACGUGAAAUCCCUCGGCUCAACCGAGGAACUGCGUCCGAUACUGGCAGGCUGGAAUCCGGGAGAGGGAUGUGGAAUUCCAGGUGUAGGCGGUGAAAUGCGUAGAUAUCUGGAGGAACACCGGUGGCGAAGGCGGCAUCCUGGACCGGUAUUGACGCUGAGGCGCGAAAGCUAGGGGAGCAAACGGGG